AUUGAACGCUGGCGGCAGGCCUAACACAUGCAAGUAGAGCGUGGCGCACACGGGAGUGUAGUGUCUGGGAACCUGCCUGAUGGGGGGGGAUAACUACUGGAAAGGGUAGCAAAUCCCGAAUACCAUCAGAUGUGCAUAGAUGGGAGUAGCAUGUAGGUGGGGUAAUGGCUAACCUAGGCGACGCUCCCUAGCUGGUCUGAGAGGAUGACCAGCCACACUGGAACUGAGACACGGUCCAGACUCCUACGGGAGGCAGCAGUGGGGAAUAUUGCACAAUGGGCGCAAGCCUGAUGCAGCCAUGCCGCGUGUGUGAAGAAGGCCUUCGGGUUGUAAAGCACUUUCAGCGAGGAGGCGUUACUCGCAGAAGAAGCACCGGCUAACUCCGUGCCAGCAGCCGCGGUAAUUC
rnacentral:rRNA from 1 species